GGAGGGGUGGCAGAGCGGACGAUUGCAGCGGUCUUGAAAACCGCCGUGGGGAGACCCACCGUGGGUUCGAAUCCCACCCCCUCCGCCA
rnacentral:tRNA from 1 species